CACACACUUAAAGUGUGUGUUCUGGUCGUGACAAUCACAGGAGCCAAGGGAGGGUUCCUUACUCAAACCCUAACUUGCCUAAAUCCAAGAAAUUGAGAGGCCAAAUCAGUCCCAAAUCGAAAUCCAAGCUCGUAUUCAUGAACACCAAGUUGAAAGGAUCACAAGUUUGACGCGUAACAAGCUAGGUGGAAGCUUGGAGUGAAAGCGGGUUAAACAAGUCAAGCAUGGAAGAAAAGCGUAGCUCGGAUGCAAGGUACACCUUGGAUGCCGGAAGACGAUCAAGCUCAGCGAAGAACCGAACACGAUAAUGAUACACGCUUCCGCAUUUUGCUACGUUGUAAUUUUUAAACAACGAAUUCGAUCACGUUAUGUAGAAUAACUUAUGAUUUAUUAAAAGUUUUAAUAAA